rnacentral:rRNA from 1 species
AGUGAACGCUGGCGGUAGGCCUAACACAUGCAAGUCGAACGGCAGCACAGUAAGAGCUUGCUCUUACGGGUGGCGAGUGGCGGACGGGUGAGGAAUACAUCGGAAUCUACUUUUUCGUGGGGGAUAACGUAGGGAAACUUACGCUAAUACCGCAUACGACCUACGGGUGAAAGCAGGGGAUCUUCGGACCUUGCGCGAUUGAAUGAGCCGAUGUCGGAUUAGCUAGUUGGCGGGGUAAAGGCCCACCAAGGCGACGAUCCGUAGCUGGUCUGAGAGGAUGAUCAGCCACACUGGAACUGAGACACGGUCCAGACUCCUACGGGAGGCAGCAGUGGGGAAUAUUGGACAAUGGGCGCAAGCCUGACCCAGCCAUACCGCGUGGGUGAAGAAGGCCUUCGGGUUGUAAAGCCCUUUUGUUGGGAAAGAAAAGCAGCAGGUGAAUACCCCGCUGUUCUGACGGUACCCAAAGAAUAAGCACCGGCUAACUUCGUG